CUUACGGAGGCCCUGUGAAGAUCCUAUGGAGAUCCAGUCGAGGUCCUAUGAAGAUCCACGGAGAACCUAUGGAUGUCCUGCAAAGGUGUUUCUCUCACAUGGAGGAAAAGACAUAAGCCAUUGGAAGAGGCUCAGAUAAUUCUGCCCACCUCAGAUCCCAGAGGUAGAACACACGGGCUGGGAAAGGAAAGGAGCGUGUCAUCAACAGCCCCCAUCACCACCCCUCCAGGUGACUCACUGGGCAGAUAAGCACGUCCUGGGCCUGCACUUUUAGAUUGCUGAUUUAAAAGUAUGAAAUAUCCGGGCGUGGUGGCUCACGCCUGUAAUCGCA